rnacentral:tRNA from 1 species
GCCUGGCUAGCUCAGUGUGUGGAGCAUGGGACUCUUGAUCUCAGGGUUGUGAGUUUGAACCCCGUGUUGGGUG